CAAACAACAAGGAUUCAUUCAAGACAUUCAACUACAUUGGUUCUGAUUAAAUCUGCAAUUUGAAUGGUGUUUUAAAGAUCAGGUUCUUCAAACAAUUUGUAUUAUAUACCUUUGUGAGUACAAUCAGGUUUAAGAGUUGGGAUUGCUCUUGAUAUUUGUAAGAGAUUGAGUGUGUUAAUCUCUUGUGUUGCUAUUUUGAUUUUGAGUGGUGAGAGGGGUGCAUUAGGAGAGUUGUCUUUGUAAUCUUGUAUACUCAAUCAUUAUAGUGGAUUCCUUCAACUAAGGUUGUUGAAGGAGGACUGGAUGUAAGCUUGUGAUAGUCGAACCAAUAUAGAUUGUUUGUGUCUUGAUCUUUCUCUUUUCUUUCUACUUAGUUGAUUCGUUAUUCUUUGUUUAUUGAUUUCGAGAAGCCAAGAACUCAUAAAGAUUUCAAAAAUAAUACAAAAAAGGGUUAAUCCAAUUCAUCCCCCCCUUCCCUUC
rnacentral:lncRNA from 1 species